CAGUAGCCGCGGUAAUACGUAGGGUGCGAGCGUUAAUCGGAAUUACUGGGCGUAAAGCGUGCGCAGGCGGUUGUGUAAGACGGGUGUGAAAUCCCCGGGCUUAACCUGGGAACUGCGCUUGUGACUGCACAGCUAGAGUAUGGCAGAGGGGGGUGGAAUUCCACGUGUAGCAGUGAAAUGCGUAGAGAUGUGGAGGAACACCGAUGGCGAAGGCAGCCCCCUGGGCCAAUACUGACGCUCAUGCACGAAAGCGUGGGGAGCAAACAGGAUUAGAUACCCCCGUAGUCCCUGUCUCUUAUAC
rnacentral:rRNA from 1 species